rnacentral:rRNA from 1 species
UACGGGGGGGGCAAGCGUUGUUCGGAAUUACUGGGCGUAAAGGGCUCGCAGGUGGCCAACUAAGUCAUACGUGAAAUCCCUCGGCUUAACCGGGGAACUGCGUCUGAUACUGGAUGGCUUGAGAUUGGGAGAGGGAUGCGGAAUUCCAGGUGUAGCGGUGAAAUGCGUAGAUAUCAGGAGGAACACCGGUGGCGAAGGCGGCUUGCUGGGCCAGUUCUGACGCUGAGGAGCGAAAGCGUGGGGAGCGAACAGG